CUCUAUGGAAGUACCUCGGUGGCACCAGGAGUCACUGGGGGCACCCAGCAGGUGCAUGCUUAAUGCAUGAUGGGUGAGACGUAAACAGCCAGCCAGGCGGGUCCAAGCUCUCUUCAGUGGUCCCCAGGGCUGGCAGCUGGCAGUGCAGGAAAUGGGGUCCCCGAGGCCUUGGGGGGCACCUCCCGUUGUUCGCCCCCACCCACAUCCGCUCAGGACACGCUUCCCACCUCCACCGCCCCCUUUCCCUGCAGGGACACCUGCCUCUUCCUGCCUCCCCGCCCAGCCUGCCUUUUUCUUGCACGUCAGCCAAAAUCCGAUUCCCCCAAGACUCUGCCUCAUCAAAGAUCCUCUUUCUCAUCACCAUAAUUUUCCAUUUGUAGGUUAAGCUGCACCUGGGGUUCUCAGAAAUCUGCUAACUCUCUUCCAACUCCCUGAACUCCUCAAACGCCUCGUCCUCCCCUGCUUCUGUUGUUCAGAGGACAGGACGUAGCAGGGGUCUGGAAUCUGAGGCUCAGAGCCCUUUCCCAGGAAGAAGAGGGCAACCAGCCCCUUUCAGCAUGUCCCGUGCUCCGUGCACCUCUGUGACACCUGGUUACUGUACUCUGAAGCUUCGCACACCCCCGCAGUCUCCAUCGUAACCCCAGAAAACCAAGGCUCAGAAGGCGACGGGCCCCAGGGCACCCGGACGGUGACGACGGUGGCUGUACCCUGUGCCAGGUGCCGUGUCCACGCUGGGUCACCUCGGGGGCCAAGACAGCUGAUGGCCGCAUCCGGGGGUGUGGACAGAUGGGAAGAGGAGCGCACCAGUCAAUGCGUGAGCCCAUUUCCGGCAAUCAGCGCCACGACGG
rnacentral:lncRNA from 1 species